rnacentral:rRNA from 1 species
AUGGCCACAGCAUAUGCUCCUCCGAUGGCGAGCCAGGUGAUGAAGAGCGGCUUGGUGUGCUCCAAGCCGCGGGGCAUGUCCGGCGCUUCGCUCACCAGGAGGCCCCGCCUCGUCGUCAAGGCCGUCAAGUCUGACAAGCCGACGUACCAGGUGGUCCAGCCCAUCAACGGCGACCCAUUCAUCGGCAGCCUGGAGACGCCCGUCACCUCCAGCCCCCUCGUCGCCUGGUACCUCUCCAACCUCCCCGCCUACCGCACCGCCGUCAGCCCGCUCCUCCGCGGCAUCGAAGUCGGCCUCGCCCACGGCUACCUCCUCGUCGGCCCCUUCGCGCUCACCGGCCCGCUCCGCAACACGCCAAUUCACGGCCAGGCAGGCACUCUCGGCGCCAUCGGCCUCGUCUCCAUCCUUAGCGUCUGCCUCACCAUGUACGGUGUCGCGUCCUUCAACGAGGGCGCACCGUCAACCGCGCCCGCACUCACGCUCACAGGCCGCAAGAAGGAGGCCGACAAGCUGCAGACCGCUGAAGGGUGGUCGCAGUUCACCGGAGGCUUCUUCUUCGGUGGUGUCUCCGGUGCCACCUGGGCCUACUUCCUCCUCUACGUGCUCGACCUCCCAUACUUCUUCAAGUAG